rnacentral:rRNA from 1 species
UCGGGAAUUUUGGGCAAUGGGGGAAACCCUGACCCAGCAACGCCGCGUGAAGGAUGAAGUAUUUCGGUAUGUAAACUUCGAAAGAAUAGGAAGAAUAAAUGACGGUACUAUUUUAUAAGGUCCGGCUAACUACGUGCCAGCAGCCGCGGUAAUACGUAGGGACCAAGCGUUGUUCGGAUUUACUGGGCGUAAAGGGCGCGUAGGCGGCAUGACAAGUCACUUGUGAAAUCUCUGGGCUUAACCCAGAACGGCCAAGUGAUACUGUCGCGCUAGAGUGCAGAAGGGGCAAUCGGAAUUCUUGGUGUAGCGGUGAAAUGCGUAGAUAUCAAGAGGAACACCUGAGGUGAAGACGGGUUGCUGGGCUGACACUGACGCUGAGGCGCGAAAGCCAGGGGAGCAAACGGGAUUAGAUACCCCAGUAGUCCCUGAGCGGGCUGGCAAGGCGCAU